rnacentral:rRNA from 1 species
AGCGAACGCUGGCGGCAGGCUUAACACAUGCAAGUCGAGCGGGCAUCCUUGUGGUGUCAGCGGCAGACGGGUGAGUAACGCGUGGGAACGUGCCCUUCGGUUCGGAAUAACUCAGGGAAACUUGAGCUAAUACCGGAUACGUGCGAGAGCAGAAAGGUUUAUCUGCCGAAGGAUCGGCCCGCGUCUGAUUAGCUAGUUGGUGAGGUUACGGCUCACCAAGGCGACGAUCAGUAGCUGGUCUGAGAGGAUGAUCAGCCACACUGGGACUGAGACACGGCCCAGACUCCUACGGGAGGCAGCAGUGGGGAAUAUUGGACAAUGGGGGCAACCCUGAUCCAGCCAUGCCGCGUGAGUGAUGACGGCCUUAGGGUUGUAAAGCUCUUUUCUCCGGGACGAUAAUGACGGUAUCGGAGGAAUAAGCCCCGGCUAACUUCGUG